ACUCAAAUGAAUAGACGGGGGCCCGCACAAGCAGCGGAGCGUGUGGUUUAAUUCGAGGUUACACGAAGGACCUUACCUGGGCUUGACAUGCCAGUGGUAGUGGCCUGAAAGGGGCACGACCUUCGGGAGCUGGGACUGGUGCUGCAUGGCUGUCGUCAGCUCGUGUCGUGAGAUGUUCGGUUAAGUCCGGUAACGAGCGCAACCCUCACCGUUAGUUACACGUUGUCUAGCGGGACAGCCCGGAGGAACUGGGAGGAAGGUGGGGAUGACGUCAAGUCAGCAUGGCCUGGAUGUCCAGGGCGACACACACGCUACAAUGGUCGGAACAAUGGGAAGCCAAGCCGCGAGGCGGAGCCAAGCCAAGAACCCCGGCCUCAGUUCGGAUUGCAGGCUGCAACUCGCCUGCAUGAAGGCGGAGUUGCUAGUAAACGCGCAUCAGCCAUGGCGCGUUGAAUACGUUCCCGGGCCUUGUACACACCGCCCGU
rnacentral:rRNA from 1 species